rnacentral:misc_RNA from 1 species
UCAAACUUGGUCAUUUAGAGGAAGUAAAAGUCGUAACAAGGUUUCCGUAGGUGAACCUGCGGAAGGAUCAUUACCGAGUGUUGGGACCCUCCGUCCCGUACUCCCACCCCAUGUUAACCUCAUCCCGUUGCUUUGGCGGACCGGUGGUUCUUGACCGCCGCCGGCUCUACGCUGGAGAGCGUCUGCCGGAGGACCCUUAAACCCUAGUUGAACUUUGUGGCAUCCGAGUCUAGCAGCAAUUGAGAUUGAAAAACUUUUAACAACGGAUCUCUUGGUUCUGGCAUCGAUGAAGAACGCAGC